GGAAGAUGGAGUUCAUUCAACUAAUCCUGAACCUUUCCUGAAAAAACUGGAGAUAUGAAAUCUGAAUUUUCCAGAAUGGAAAAACAGCAUACUUCUAUUGCAGCCUUUUGGCAGACUAUUAUAUAUUAUUCUUCCUGUGCAAAAAAAUUGAUUCAUAACUUCCUGAAUUUAGUUAUUAUUAUGGUUUAUUUUUAUAAUAAAAUUCUAUUUAAGCUUGCUUUUUCUCUAGUUUCAGUAUACAGACUGAAAUCUAAUAAAUUCAGUUUGGAAAAUCCAAUCAGAUUCUCAAGCUUUGAAGAUCAUUAAAAAUUUUUUGAUUUCACUUUUAACACCAAUCAGUUCUAUCAGAUAAUACUGCCUUAGCGCAACGUGCGCUCACUUCAUAUUUAGAUGUUGAAUGGAACAACAGUAAAUUAUUGUGUAGGGAACAAGAUCCUAAGAGAGGGAGGAUCGCAGAAACAGUAACGAGAUACAUCAGCCGGAACAGGAAGUGUAAACCAAUUAAUAAGUUUGACGCUGCUACAGUAAAUAAUGCUUGGAAAUGGUGCAAUACCUAUGGACAUUAGCAAAUGGACAAGUACAGACUUUUGAAAUUUUUUAGAUUUAAUAUGCUGAUUAAUUUGACCAAUGAGUAUAUUGUGAAUUAUUAUCUGUGACACAACAUGUUAGUGAGAAGUAUUUAAUAUUUUGGUUUCUUAAUUAAAAAUAGGUUCGAUGUAAUUCCAUAAGAAAUUUGAUUGUUAUGGCAAU
rnacentral:lncRNA from 1 species